rnacentral:rRNA from 1 species
UCCUACGGGGGGCAGCAGUGGGGAAUAUUGGGCAAUGGGCGCAAGCCUGACCCAGCAACGCCGCGUGAGGGAAGAAGGUCUUCGGAUUGUAAACCUCUGUCCUUGGGGACGAAAAAAAUGACGGUACCCGAGGAGGAAGCUCCGGCUAACUACGUGCCAGCAGCCGCGGUAAUACGUAGGGAGCAAGCGUUGUCCGGAAUUACUGGGCGUAAAGGGUGCGUAGGCGGCUAGGCAAGUCAGAUGUGAAAUCCCCGGGCUUAACUCGGGUGGUGCAUUUGAAACUGCUUAGCUUGAGUGCAGGAGAGGAAAGCGGAAUUCCUAGUGUAGCGGUGAAAUGCGUAGAUAUUAGGAGGAACACCAGUGGCGAAGGCGGCUUUCUGGACUGUAACUGACGCUGAGGCACGAAAGCGUGGGGAGCAAACAGGAUUAGAUACCCUAGUAGUC